AAGGCUUUAAGUUAAAUAAACUAAUAUCCUUCAAAGCUAUAAAUAAAGAUGUUAUCUCUUUAAGCCUUA
rnacentral:tRNA from 1 species